rnacentral:rRNA from 1 species
UGGGGAAUUUUGCGCAAUGGACGAAAGUCUGACGCAGCGACGCCGCGUGUGCGAUGAAGGCCUUUGGGUCGUAAAGCACUGUCGACCGGGACGAAAACUCACGGACUAAUACUUCGUGAGUCUGACGGUACUGGUAAAGGAAGCACCGGCUAACUCUGUGCCAGCAGCCGCGGUAAUACAGAGGGUGCAAGCGUUAAUCGGAAUUACUGGGCGUAAAGCGCGCGUAGGUGGUUUGUUAAGUUGGAUGUGAAAGCCCCGGGCUCAACCUGGGAACUGCAUCCAAAACUGGCAAGCUAGAGUACGGUAGAGGGUGGUGGAAUUUCCUGUGUAGCGGUGAAAUGCGUAGAUAUCUGGAGGAAUACCGGUGGCGAAGGCGGCAUCCUGGACCAUUACUGACGCUGAGGCGCGAAAGCUAGGGGAGCAAACGGGAUUAGAUACCCCAGUAGUCCCUGAGCGGGCUGGCAAGGCGCAU